rnacentral:rRNA from 1 species
UACCAGCACCCCGAGUGGUCGGGACGAUUAUUGGGCCUAAAGCAUCCGUAGCCGGUUCUACAAGUCUUCCGUUAAAUCCACCUGCUCAACAGAUGGGCUGCGGAGGAUACUAUAGAGCUAGGAGGCGGGAGAGGCAAGCGGUACUUUAUGGGUAGGGGUAAAAUCCGUUGAUCCAUAGAAGACCACCAGUGGCGAAGGCGGCUUGCCAGAACGCGCUCGACGGUGAGGGAUGAAAGCUGGGGGAGCAAACCGG